AUUGCCCUCGAAUAAUUGAUUGGAAAUUCACUUUCUCAUUCGGUUCAGACAGGGGCAUAUACAUAUCUAAAUCCUUAUAUAUAUAUAUAUAUAUAUAUAUAUAUAUAUGAAAAGGAUGCUAGUUUCUGUAGAUCCUUUCUUAGAUGGAUUCAUAUAGCU
rfam:Triticum aestivum genome assembly, contig: Triticum_aestivum_CS42_TGACv1_scaffold_577092_7BL